rnacentral:rRNA from 1 species
AGAGUUUGAUCCUGGCUCAGAUUGAACGCUGAGGCUUAACAUGCAAGUCGAACGGGAUUGGUAGCAAUACCAUGAGAGUGGCGCACGGGUGAGUAACGCGUAUGCAACCUGCCUUUAACUGAGGGAUAGCCCAUAGAGAUGUGGAUUAAUACCUCAUAGUUCUGAGAAGCUGCAUGGUUUCUCAGAUAAAGCUCCGGCGGUUAAAGAUGGGCAUGCGUGACAUUAGCUAGUUGGUAAGGUAACGGCUUACCAAGGCUACGAUGUCUAGGGGUUCUGAGAGGAUGAUCCCCCACACUGGUACUGAGACACGGACCAGACUCCUACGGGAGGCAGCAGUGAGGAAUAUUGGUCAAUGGGCGCAAGCCUGAACCAGCCAUCCCGCGUGCAGGAUGACGGCCCUAUGGGUUGUAAACUGCUUUUGUACAGGAAGAAAAAUCCCUACGUGUAGGGACCUGCCGGUACUGUACGAAUAAGCAUCGGCUAACUCCGUGCCAGCAGCCGCGGUAAUACGGAGGAUGCAAGCGUUAUCCGGAUUCAUUGGGUUUAAAGGGUGCGUAGGCGGCUUUUUAAGUCAGUGGUGAAAUCCUGCCGCUUAACGGUAGAAUUGCCAUUGAUACUGAAGAGCUUGAGUACAGUUGAGGUAAGCGGAAUGUGUAGUGUAGCGGUGAAAUGCUUAGAUAUUACACAGAACACCAAUUGCGAAGGCAGCUUACUAAACUGCAACUGACGCUGAUGCACGAAAGCGUGGGGAGCGAACAGGAUUAGAUACUCUGGUAGUCCACGCCGUAAACGAUGAUCACUCGCUGUAUGCGAUACACAGUAUGCGGCCAAGCGAAAGCAUUAAGUGAUCCACCUGGGGAGUACGAUCGCAAGGUUGAAACUCAAAGGAAUUGACGGGGGCCCGCACAGCGGAGGACAUGUGGUUUAUUCGAUGAUACGCGAGGA